CACAAGGAUGCACUCCCUCUUAUAACUGGCAUGUGGCUGUGUGCAGAAGUAACAGAUCACAUUCAAACUCAUGUUCGAUGGGAGUCCACACACAAACCUGCCACCAUUUAAAUGUUUAAGGGGAAAAAAACAACAACACAUGCAUAGGGCCUUACAGAAACAUUACCGUAUUUGCUUCACCCACUAAAAUGACUGAAUGUAAAAACUGACUAGAUUUACUGAUCAAGUGUGUAUGUGCGUGUGUGUGUCAGAGAGAGAGCGAGAGAGAGAGAGAGAAAGAGCGAGAGAGAGAGAGAGAGCAAGAGAAAACAAGUUGCAUGUUUUACAGUUACUUGUGACCAUAAAAUAGUGGUAAUGUUGCUAUAUGCACAGCCAAAACAACAGCAAAAACAUUUGCAACUUACCGCAAGGUGUUUUCUGAAGUUAGAAGUGGGCUGAAAUAUCCAAGUUUGGGCAGUGACAAAACUGCGCUCUCUUUUCCUAGUCUGUAAUGUAAACACGAGCAUGUACGGCUUUCAAAACUUACCAAAGCGAAGCCCAAUAGAAGAUUUUGUGUGUGGACAUGUGACUUAAUUUUGCAUUGCAUUGUGGGAGGUGGUGGCUGUUCUGGGCUAGCAGUAACCGCAGUGCAUGUAAACAUCAAUGUACCGAAAAGUAUAAGACACUCUACAGUGAUUUCCAAGCGACCCCACUGUUAUUUCAGCAUCCAAAAUAGUUUUCACCUAUUUCUAUACACACAACGAUCAAAAUAAGGUAAAUAUAACGUCAAUUCUGGCAGGCAAGGCAUACAUAGAGCGGCAUAACCAGGAAGAAGUAACAUCUAUACCCAAUAUGGACUGGAGGUCCCAGAAUCAAGAUGGCAGGCACUAACAAGGUGGUUAAGAUCAACCAGGCCAAGAUCCUGUGGGACUUCUAGAUCCAGACUGACGAACCGGUGAUUGCCAACCAGCCUGACAUAGUGGUGGUAGAUAAACAUAAUAGAGAGCGGUAGUAAUAGCAAUCUAUUACUAGCAAUCCAGAGUGAUAGCAACAUCUGGAAAAAGGAACAAGAAAAGCUGGAGAAAUACCAAGGACUGAAAGAAGAACUAGAGAAAAUGUGGAUGGUGAAGGCAAUAGUGGUGCCCGUAGAGAUCGAGGCACUGCAGGCAGUUACCCCCCAAGCUGGGAGAAUGGCUCCAGCAGAUAUCAGGAACAACAUCCGACAUCUGCGUCCAGAAGAGCGCAAUACUGGGAACAGCUAAGAGCCUGCGCAAAACCUUUGAGGUCCCAGGUCUAGUAGGUAGACACACAGAAAAAUAGGUAUAUGCACAGGUCGACGGACUUCCUGUGUGUGCAGCUAUAACUACGAUAACUAAGGGUUGAUGACAUAAUGGUUUGAACCCGAACUUGCUAUAAUAUUUUUUUUUUUUUUUAAUCACUAAUAUCGCCGAACAAAGGUUAAAUAUAUGUAAAGGUAUAAUUUAUUUAUACAUACUGUAGAUAAUGUGAUUACAUGUAAACACGGACAAAGCCUAAACAUAGGAUACGGUCGUCUUUGGUAAAGUCUUGAAGUCAUCUUGUGUAAAUCAAAAGGCAUUGUAGAUGUUUACUAUUUCUCCAAGCGUUUUCUCCUAGUCUCCUGCCAUAGGGCUCCGCCAGUGACCUGCACCAGAAGCAACGGUUUCGUCCUGUUUUGCUCAAUGUAAGAAUUGGUUGCUCAUUUUUAAUACCUAUUGCGGGUGGGUCUGCAACAUAUUGCCCGUGAUAAACAGGGGGUGAAAAAGGGUGAACAAAGCUGCUAAUAAAACUAGCUUAAAAGAGCUUUCAGCAUAUUGACACGACUGGACUGCUAACACUAAACAACAUGUAUAUGGAGGUCAUAUUUACUGUUUACUUUUGACUUUAAACCUCAGAAGUUCCAAGUGGGGUAUUUCCUUCUUCGGAGCAGCUUGGAAUGCAGCCUGGAUGGACCAAGACCAUUUAUUUCCCAUGAGCCCACCUGGUCUCUCUAGAGCAAUUAUGUUUCAUUCUUAAUGCACAAUGCCCGAAGGGGAACUAAAUUCGACACUCCUGUAGAGGGGCUGUGCAGUAAGUUGUUGUUGUCUUUUGGUAAAGUGAUCCUCUUUGGUUUGGUGCUGAAGAAAAUGAAGGCUGUCGGGGACGCGCAGAUGCGCUGGCACUCACUAGGCGUGACACACCAUGAGCAGCUGUUAUUUUUUAAUUAUGCACAAUGUUGGGCUAUUGUCUGCUUCCAAAACCCAUUUGCUUCCAUCCGCUCCACUGAUUCAUGCACACAUCAAUUGUCUGCUGCGUUCAUAUUGGCUGGGAGUGUUAUUCCAGAGAGAAGACUAGUGGUUUUCUUCCAUUUGUUUUUGCUAGCCACAUAACAACCCAUUUUAGCCAUAAAUAUUUCCUAUCAUGUCCAUUUUCCAAGGCUGAGCUUCAACCUAAUUUACCACUGGUAUUGAUAUGAAAGAUGAGUCUUGUCCUAAGAAAAUCAGAUUAUUCUUAUUGAUGGGAAGAGGUGGAGUCACAUCAUCUUGGAUAGUAAGUGAACUUCUAGAUGAGAACGGGACAGUUACAAUGCAUGUUGGGUGGGAAGUGAUAUAUUCAGGAAUUAGCGAGGCUGAGCAUGAAGAGCUUUUAAGAUGUUGUUGUGCAAAUGGAGUGGAAACCUUUAGCAUAUAAAUGAGAUGGACUGUGUGUUCCUAUCAAAGUAGUUUGUGUACUCACUCUAAAGCUCACCCACCCGCUUUCAGAUACAUAAAACACACCUGCGACCCGUGCACCUCGACCCCUUUGGCAGUGCUCUCAAUUAGCGCUUUUUUUUCACAAGAUCGAAUCAGGCCGACUGCUUCGCUGCUGCUGCUCUUUGUCAUGCACACUCCGGCCGCUGUCAUCCAGAGGAGGCAAAUGUACUCACAUGCUGUACUUAAGUAGAAAUACUUGUGUAAAGAAAGACUGGUAAAAGAAAGGUAUUGAUUCAACUCCUGUACUUAAGUAAAAGUAAAAAGGAAUUCAAUGUACUCUCUGAAAUGUACUUAAGUACAAAAGUAAAAAGUAAAAGUGAAUUUUACUUCGGUGGCUCUGAAGUGCAAAAAACACAACAGCAAAUAACUAACCACAACAACAAAUUACAAAACACAACAGCAAAUAACUAAUUACAACAACAACUGAUGAACCACAACAGCAAAUCAAAAAACACAACAAAUCAUUGCUCAACAACAAAUAAUCACAAUAACAAAUAACUAAACACCAGCAAACCAAAAAGACUGUUAUUUGUUGUUGUGAUUAGUUAUUUGCUGUUGUGUUUUUAAUUUGUUGUUGUGAUUAGUUAUUUGCUGUUGUGUUUUUCAAUUUGCUGUUGUUUUUAGUUAUUUGUUGUUGUGUUCUUUUAAUUUGCCGUUGUGUUUAGUUAUUCGCUAUUGUGUUUUGCACUUCAGAGCCACCGUACAACACCCAUUUCAAUAACCUUGUCAUGGUCGGUGUCCUGCAGUCUCCUUUUUUGCGCUUGGGGGGUGCUUUGUGCCUCGCCUCUCUCUCUCCCUCUCUCCCUCCCUCUCUCUCUCUCUCUCUCCCUCUCUCCAGCAAUCAGCAUCAAAUUGGCCGUGCACCUGUCUUCAAUCAGCACUCAUCACUGCCUGCAUAUAAGCCUGCCAGAUCCAGGAAUCUAUCGCCAGAGUAUUAGUACUCUAUUGUGGUACACAGGCCGACUUUCGCAUUCUUGUAAGCAAGUUCCUAUCCGACGACCCGCAACUGUACUCAGCCUGUUGUGUUCUCUCCCCCUUCCAGUGCUCCUUCCGUGCCUCCCUGCUUCGCUGCCCGCUCCAACCAUGCCGUCAAGCUCUUCCACGCCCUCACGUUCCCGCUUCUUGCACCGUCCUUGGUCCUAUGAACAAUGACCCUUUCUUGGAUACCCGAACUCUUGCCGCUUCCAAAUAAAUCAUUAUAAUCUACUCCCUCCGCUUCAGUCUGCUUUUCGAUCCAGUCCAAUUUGAUACGAUUUCGUAUCGUGACAGAAUACUCUGGCCAUCAUGGAACCAGCAACACCGGAAGCGUUGAGGGAAGCGCUCGCCCAUCAGGGCCACGCACAUAGGCAGACAGGACAAAGCCCUCCUCAAGAUCAUGGACUCAUUGAAUACCCUCACACAACAAGAGCAUACGGUGGCGGUUGCCGCAGUGAGGGAGCAUCUUCGACAUGUCCAAUCCGUGUGGAAGGACGUCAGGGCUGCUCUUACUCGUUCAGCUGAGAAGAAUGAGUGGCUGGCAGAUCUUCAUCGCUCUCCCACACCAGAAUACAAGUACAGAACAAAAAGAGUCCUGCGUAAGAUGUAAGCUGCCCACUGAUACUUGAUUCAGGGUCACAGGGAGCUGAAUCCUAACCCAGUUGACUUUGGGCAAAAGGCAGAUUACACCCUGGACUGGUCACCAAUCAAUCACUGGGCGAACAGACAUUUUAUUUCAACAAUUUCUUUUUAUUCCUUGAAUGGAUUUCGUCAUUGGGUGAUGAAAAAAUAAAAGCACUGUAUUGAGUUUUAAUAAUUUUUCUCCUAACAUGAAGCCAUCAGCCAUACUAUAUGAGGACUAUGCCAGAACAGUCACACCAUUUGAUCAAACAACACCCAUAGAGUCUUCAUGAAGUCUAUAUUACAAGAUGCAU